UCGGAGAGUUUGAUCCUGGCUCAGGACGAACGCUGGCGGCGUGCCUAAUACAUGCAAGUCGAGCGGACAGAAGGGAGCUUGCUCCCGGAUGUUAGCGGCGGACGGGUGAGUAACACGUGGGUAACCUGCCUGUAAGACUGGGAUAACUCCGGGAAACCGGAGCUAAUACCGGAUAGUUCCUUGAACCGCAUGGUUCAAGGAUGAAAGACGGUUUCGGCUGUCACUUACAGAUGGACCCGCGGCGCAUUAGCUAGUUGGUGAGGUAACGGCUCACCAAGGCGACGAUGCGUAGCCGACCUGAGAGGGUGAUCGGCCACACUGGGACUGAGACACGGCCCAGACUCCUACGGGAGGCAGCAGUAGGGAAUCUUCCGCAAUGGACGAAAGUCUGACGGAGCAACGCCGCGUGAGUGAUGAAGGUUUUCGGAUCGUAAAGCUCUGUUGUUAGGGAAGAACAAGUGCAAGAGUAACUGCUUGCACCUUGACGGUACCUAACCAGAAAGCCACGGCUAACUACGUGCCAGCAGCCGCGGUAAUACGUAGGUGGCAAGCGUUGUCCGGAAUUAUUGGGCGUAAAGGGCUCGCAGGCGGUUUCUUAAGUCUGAUGUGAAAGCCCCCGGCUCAACCGGGGAGGGUCAUUGGAAACUGGGAAACUUGAGUGCAGAAGAGGAGAGUGGAAUUCCACGUGUAGCGGUGAAAUGCGUAGAGAUGUGGAGGAACACCAGUGGCGAAGGCGACUCUCUGGUCUGUAACUGACGCUGAGGAGCGAAAGCGUGGGGAGCGAACAGGAUUAGAUACCCUGGUAGUCCACGCCGUAAACGAUGAGUGCUAAGUGUUAGGGGGUUUCCGCCCCUUAGUGCUGCAGCUAACGCAUUAAGCACUCCGCCUGGGGAGUACGGUCGCAAGACUGAAACUCAAAGGAAUUGACGGGGGCCCGCACAAGCGGUGGAGCAUGUGGUUUAAUUCGAAGCAACGCGAAGAACCUUACCAGGUCUUGACAUCCUCUGACAACCCUAGAGAUAGGGCUUUCCCUUCGGGGACAGAGUGACAGGUGGUGCAUGGUUGUCGUCAGCUCGUGUCGUGAGAUGUUGGGUUAAGUCCCGCAACGAGCGCAACCCUUGAUCUUAGUUGCCAGCAUU
rnacentral:rRNA from 2 species